AAUAGAUACCCAGGUAGUCCACGCCGUAAACGAUGAGUGCUAAGUGUUAGGGGGUUUCCGCCCCUUAGGUGCUGCAGCUAACGCAUUAAGCACUCCGCCUGGGGAGUACGGUCGCAAGACUGAAACUCAAAGGAAUUGACGGGGGCCCGCACAAGCGGUGGAGCAUGUGGUUUAAUUCGAAGCAACGCGAAGAACCUUACCAGGUCUUGACAUCCCAUUGACCACUAUGGAGACAUAGUUUUCCCUUCGGGGACAACGGUGACAGGUGGUGCAUGGUUGUCGUCAGCUCGUGUCGUGAGAUGUUGGGUUAAGUCCCGCAACGAGCGCAACCCUUGUUCUUAGUUGCCAUCAUUUAGUUGGGCACUCUAAGGAGACUGCCGGUGACAAACCGGAGGAAGGUGGGGAUGACGUCAAAUCAUCAUGCCCCUUAUGACCUGGGCUACACACGUGCUACAAUGGACGGUACAAACGGUUGCCAACCCGCGAGGGGGAGCUAAUCCGAUAAAACCGUUCUCAGUUCGGAUUGUAGGCUGCAACUCGCCUACAUGAAC
rnacentral:rRNA from 1 species